rnacentral:tRNA from 1 species
GGGUAGGUUGCAGAGCGGCCAAAUGCAACAGACUGUAAAUCUGUCGUCAAUGACUUCGAUGGUUCGAAUCCAUCCCUGCCCACCA